rnacentral:rRNA from 1 species
AAAAGUAUAAUCACACUCGGAGAUAGCUCGCUCUCUCCGAAAUAACUUUAGGGUUAGCCUCGGCUGGCAAGCGAUGGGGGUAGAGCUACUGGACGAGGCGUCGGGCCUAACCGGCUACGACCCUCAACCAAACUCCGAAUACCAUUGCCCAAGACCCGGGAGAUAGACGGUGAGUGACAAUAUCCAUCGUCAAAAGGAGAACAAUCCAGACCACCAGCUAAGGUCCCGAAUCUACGCUUAGUUCGAAAGGAAGUCAGAUUGCAGUGACAGCCGGGAUGUUGGCUUAGAAGCAGCCACCAUUUAAAGAGUGCGUAACAGCUCACCGGUCGAGGAGUCUGGCGCCGAUAAUGAUCGGGAAUAAGCGUGGAGCCGAAGCUGUGGGCCCAGCAGCAAUGCUGGGCGGUAGGAGAGCGUAGUUGAUGCUGUGAAGCGGCUCGGGAACGGGUCGUGGAGCGUCCACUAGUGCAUAUGCCGGCUUAAGUAACGAUUAACACGGUGAAAAUCCGUGUCGCCGAAUGCCUAAGGUUUCCUGGGGAAGGUAAAUCCGCCCAGGGUUAGCCGGGUCCUAAGGUGAGGCCGAAAGGCGUAGCCGAUGGAAAUCAGGUCAAUAUUCCUGAGCCAAUGCCCAAUAUGGUGACGGAUCUCCAAGAUCUGCGGGACUGCUAGAUGUCCAGGCCCUCGAGGCCGAUGCAGGUGGAGGAGGUCACGAGAAAAACCGGGCGUGCCCGUACUAAAACUGACACAGGUAGGCGAGGCGAAUAGCCUCAGGCGCUCGAGAGAACGGUCGUGAAGGAACUAGGCAAUUUAACCCCGUACGUUCGCAAGAAGGGGGCCCUCGUCGUCAGACAGGGCGCAGAGAAAAGGGUCUGGGAACUGUUUAUCAAAAACACAGCUCUGUGCUAACUCGGAAGAGGAUGUAUACAGAGUGACGCUUGCUCAAUGCCGGAAUGUCACGGAAGCGGGUCAUCGCAAGAGAAGCCCGCGACUCAAGCACCGGUGAAUAGCGGCCGUAACUAUGACGGUCCUAAGGUAGCGAAGUUCCUUGUCGGGUAAGUUCCGACGCGCAUGAAUAGCGUAAUCACUGGACUCCUGUCUCCACGACCGACUCGGUGAAAUAGUAGUGGCGGUGAAGAUGCCGUCUACCCGCAGCAAGACGGAAAGACCCCGUGGACCUUCACUAUAGGCAUGCGCUGGUCACGAGCACGAACUGCGUAGCAUAGGUGGGAGGCUUUGAAGUUCCCGUUUCGGCGGGAAUGGAGCCAACAAGUGAAAUACCACCCUGUUUAUGUUUGUGGCCUAACUUCGAUUCCCGUGAAUCCGGGCGAAGAACACCGUGUGUUGGGUAGUUUGACUGGGGCGGUCUCCUCCCAAAGAGUAACGGAGGAGUGCAAAGGUCGGCUCAGCACGGAUGGAAACCGUGCCCUGCGUGCAAGAGCACAAGCCGGCUUUACUGCGAGACCGACGGGUCGAGCAGUUACGAAAGUAGGCUCUAGUGAUCCUGCGAUCCCGUGUGGAAGGGUCGUAGCUCA